UACGUAGGUGACCAGCGUUGUCCGGAUUUACUGGGCGUAAAGAGCGCGCAGGCGGUCGUUCAAGUCGAGUGUGAAAGCCCCCGGCUCAACUGGGGAGGGUCAUUCGAUACUGAUCGACUGGAAGGCAGGAGAGGGAAGCGGAAUUCCCGGUGUAGUGGUGAAAUGCGUAGAUAUCGGGAGGAACACCAGUGGCGAAGGCGGCUUCCUGGCCUGUUCUUGACGCUGAGGCGCGGAAGCUAGGGGAGCAAACGGG
rnacentral:rRNA from 1 species